CCAAAGGCCCUUUUCAGGGCCGCUCACAAAAUCUUUAAAGAGCUG
rfam:Pongo abelii chromosome 6.